CUUGUGGACUGUCACAACAAACGAGAGUAGCUUCGGCAAAAUCGGACAGGCGGAAGCAAGAA
rnacentral:sRNA from 1 species